AGGAUCAAAGAAAUUUAUGCAAAACCUUCUGGUUUUGUUGCUGCGCCAAGACUGCGGCUUCAUGGUUUGUAUCUUUUGGAAGCUGUGACAGAAUAGUGAGCUUGAUAUACCUAGGUAGGCUGGUAUUGUGUGCAAAACCACAGUUCCUGAGCUAUAUUGGCAAAGCAUCGAAGAGUUAUAAGCUGAUGGAGUGUUGACCUAUGAGUUUAGUUGCUUCUACCUCACUGGCUUGGUACUGUGCUUAGGUUUGGGAAUUCCGUCUUUCUGUUUUCUUUUCCCAAUCUUAUGUAUUGGUUCAUGAAGCUUGACAGGAGUGCUUCCACUUAAGGCCUUGUUCAGUUUAGAAGGGAUUAAAUGGGGUUGGAGAGGAUUGAGGGAGAAUAAUUCCACACCACAAUAGGUGUGGAAUAAAUCCCUUCAAUCUCUCCCUCAUGGGGAUCAACUGAACAUGCCCUAAAUCGGAUUUUUCCUCUUACAGUUACCACUUGACUACUAUUUGUUAAUUUUUUGCCGGGUUACUAUUUGUUAAAUUCUCCAUUCGUUUAGUCCUAAAGCAGAGUCAUAGUCCAGGUCUAUGCCCUCUAGUGAUUUCCUUAUUCUUUUUUUUCCUAGAUGGAGGUAUGGCGUACAGGCGUACAGCCGAGCACCGUGCUUCUAAUCUCAGUAAUUCCAGCAGCUGCAUUUGAGUCCUUUGUCAACAAUGGAUUUGUGACUGUUGACUGUUCUUGGCUUGCGAUAAUCUUUUACAGCAAUCAAAAGAUUGACCUCAGUUGGUUACAUUACCUCUUCUUUUUCUUUUUAUCUUGAAACGGUUUGGCUACACUACUAAAACAGUAAUUGAUGCAGGUAUAGUACAUGAUUGUGUGCUGCUGGAAUGCUUUUGCUUUUGCAUGGCUGAACAAAGUUUGCUCAAGGCUUCAAGUUUCAAGUAAAGGUUGUGUUGUAAGCCUGUACAGCGGUAGUGCUAUCUAAUAGUAGUCUAUUGUUCUCAUUUCCUUUUCAGUUCAUGACCCUCGUUGUUCUAUACAAAAUUUCAACAAAGUCUGUGAAAUUUCUUUCACAGACAGUUCUUACAUUUGCAUAUUCAGACGGUCUGAUAUUAUCUUAGAUCGUGUCAGCUCUCAUAAUGAGCUUGUAUAUUAUAUCUUGGUGCUUAGUUUCGGACUGCUACCUAAAGGUAACUAUAUAUUUUGGGACGGAGCUAUUAAUUUUCUUUUUCAGCAGCUUGUUGGUACAUUUGGAUGAAUUCUGCGCAAGAUGACAUGCUUGUUGUACUUUGUGCAAUAGCAUGCUCAUCAGAAAUUGAGAAUAAGAUGCCUUAUCAAAUGCUGAUCAGGAUAUCACCAGGGUUUACCAAAUCGUGCGG
rnacentral:lncRNA from 1 species